rnacentral:rRNA from 1 species
GACGAACGCUGGCGGCGUGCUUAACACAUGCAAGUCGAACGGAAAGGCCCUGCUUAUGUGGGGUGCUCGAGGGGCGAAGGGGUGAGUAACACGUGGGUAACCUGCCCUUGACUGUGGGAGAACUUCAUGAAACUGGGGCUAAUAGGGGAUAGGAUCUCCUGCUGCAUGGUGGGGGUGGGAAGGUUUCGGCGGUUGGGGAUGGACUCGCGGCCUGUCGGCUUGUUGGUUGGGUAGUGGAUGACCAAGGCUUUGACCGGUGGCCGGCCUGAGAGGGUGACAGGCUCCGUUGGGCCUGGGAUACGGCACAGCCCACUCCGGGACGCAGGGGUGCGGUAUGUUGCACUAUGCGCGGAAGCCUGAUCCAGUCACGCCGCGUGCGGGAUGACGGCCAUCGCGUAGUAUACCAAUGUCGCCUGUGACGAAGCGAGAGUGACGGUACCGGGUAAAGAAGCACCGGCUAACUCCGUG